CCUACGGGAGGCAGCAGUGGGGGAUAUUGCACAAUGGGGGAAACCCUGAUGCAGCGACGCCGCGUGUGGGAAGACGGUCUUCUGGAUUGUAAACCACUGUCCCCAGGGACGCAAAUGACGGUAUCUGGGGAAGAAGCUCCGGCUAACUACGUGCCAGCAGCCGCGGUACUACGUAGGGAGCACGCGUUGUCCGGAAUUACUGGGGGUAAAGGGCGCGUAGGCGGGGAUGCAAGUUGGUGGGAAAGACUACCGGGUCAACCGAUAGUGGCACUGGAAACUGCAACUCUUGAGUGAAGUAGAGGCGGGCGGAAUUCCUAGUGUAGCGGUGAAAUGCGUAGAUAUUAGGAGGAACGCCAGUGGCGAAGGCGGCCUGCUGGGCUUUUACUGACGCUGAGGCUCGAAAGUGUGGGGAGCAAACAGGAUUAGAUACCCGGGUAGUC
rnacentral:rRNA from 1 species